GUGGGGAAUAUUGGACAAUGGGCGAAAGCCUGAUCCAGCCAUGCCGCGUGCAGGAAGAAGGCCUUCGGGUUGUAAACUGCUUUUGUACGGAACGAAACGGUCCUGGCUAAUAUCCGGGGCUAAUGACGGUACCGUAAGAAUAAGCACCGGCUAACUACGUGCCAGCAGCCGCGGUAAUACGCAGGGUGCGAGCGUUAAUCGGAAUUACUGGGCGUAAAGCGCGCGUAGGUGGUUUUGUAAGUUGGAGGUGAAAUCCCCGGGCUCAACCUGGGAACUGCCGCCAAAACUGCAUGACUAGAGUACGGUAGAGGGUAGUGGAAUUUCCUGUGUAGCGGUGAAAUGCGUAGAUAUAGGAAGGAACACCAGUGGCGAAGGCGACUACCUGGACUGAUACUGACACUGAGGUGCGAAAGCGUGGGGAGCAAACAGGAUUAGAUACCCGAGUAGUCC
rnacentral:rRNA from 1 species